rnacentral:snRNA from 1 species
GGAAAAGGAGGAGUUCCAACCUCAACUUGGAACGAUACAGAGAAGAUUAGCAUGGCCCCUGCGCGAGGAUGACAAGCACAAAUCGAGAAAUACAGGUAAAUAUU